GCAGGUCGGGACUGGCAGUGGUGGUGCGGAUUGUGCUCCCCGCACCGAGGACGGGACUUACUCAAAGACUUGCCGGUUCACGAUGGCAGACCUCGACCACCGUUAAAGGCAGGAGCAGCAGCAGCAGCAGCCUUGUUUGCAUGCCUCAGGAUGCAUCUUAUCCACAGCGUCCAGACAGGAGCCGCAGCGAAUUUCAGUCAAAUAUUUUAGUGAUCGGACGCGUAAAUGGGAAGACUUCGAGCAACGCGUCAUCAUCAUGCUCCUGUGUCUCUGCACCGCUGUCCCUUCUUCACGCCCUUCUCGCUCCGGAUUGCGGAGAUGCGGGACUUGUGGUGUGGCCGGGUGAGCUGAUUCUUUCAGGACAAGAGCAGGGUCUCUAGAGUGGAUCGAUGGGUCCAUUCAGCUUGAACGUAAAUUCAAACGCUGAUCCUCUUCAUCCCACAGAUUGGGCAAGAAUCACACCAAACUGUUGCCACCGUGCCCCAGAUUAUUAUUAUUAAUAUUAUUAUCAGUAUUAUUUAUUAUUUAUUAUUAUUAUUAUUAUUAUUAUUAUUAUUA